rnacentral:rRNA from 2 species
GCUCCAAUAGCGUAUAUUAAAGUUGUUGUGGUUAAAAAGCUGUAGUUGACCCUUGGGCCUGGCUGGCCGGUCCCCCUUCCCGGGUGAUGGUCCGGCCGGGCCCUUUCCCUCUGUGGACCCCAUGCCCUUUACUGGGGCGUGGCGGGGAAACAGGACUUUUACUUUGAAAAAAUUAGAGUGCUCCAGGCAGGCCUAUGCUCGAAUACAUUAGCAUGGAAUAAUAGAAUAGGACGUGUGGUUCUAUUUUGUUGGUUUCUAGACCGCCGUAAUGAUUAAUAGGACAGUCGGGGGCAUCAGUAUUCAAUUGUCAGAGGUGAAAUUCUUGGAUCUAUUGAAGACUAACUACUGCGAAAGCAUUUGCCAAGGAUGUUUUCAUUGAUAAGGAACGAAAGUUAGGGGAUCGAAGA